rnacentral:pre_miRNA from 1 species
GUGCAUUGUAGUUGCAUUGCAUGUUAUGCUAACACACUGCAAUGGAUCUGCUUUGCAACA